rnacentral:rRNA from 1 species
UUAAGCGACUAAGCGUACACGGUGGAUGCCCUGGCAGUCAGAGGCGAUGAAGGGCGUGCUAAUCUGCGAUAAGCGCCGGUAAGGUGAUAUGAACCGUUAUAACCGGCGAUACCCGAAUGGGGAAACCCAGUGUGACUCGUCACACUAUCAUUAACUGAAUCCAUAGGUUAAUGAGGCGAACCGGGGGAACUGAAACAUCUAAGUACCCCGAGGAAAAGAAAUCAACCGAGAUUCCCCCAGUAGCGGCGAGCGAACGGGGAGGAGCCCAGAGCCUGAAUCAGCAUGUGUGUUAGUGGAAGCGUCUGGAAAGGCGCGCGAUACAGGGUGACAGCCCCGUACACAAAAGCGCAUGUGCUGUGAGCUCGAUGAGUAGGGCGGGACACGUGGUAUCCUGUCUGAAUAUGGGGGGACCAUCCUCCAAGGCUAAAUACUCCUGACUGACCGAUAGUGAACCAGUACCGUGAGGGAAAGGCGAAAAGAACCCCGGCGAGGGGAGUGAAAAAGAACCUGAAACCGUGUACGUACAAGCAGUGGGAGCCCCACCACCAAAGCAUUCUCUGGUGUUGAAGGCCCUGCAAAGCAGCAUCGCGGUGGCGGAGCGUCGUUUGCGACGCCCAACACACAAAACAAGCGGUGAGUGCUUUGGGGUGGGGUGACUGCGUACCUUUUGUAUAAUGGGUCAGCGACUUAUAUUCUGUAGCAAGGUUAACCGUAUAGGGGAGCCGUAGGGAAACCGAGUCUUAACCGGGCGUUAAGUUGCAGGGUAUAGACCCGAAACCCGGUGAUCUAGCCAUGGGCAGGUUGAAGGUUGGGUAACACUAACUGGAGGACCGAACCGACUAAUGUUGAAAAAUUAGCGGAUGACCUGUGGCUGGGGGUGAAAGGCCAAUCAAACCGGGAGAUAGCUGGUUCUCCCCGAAAGCUAUUUAGGUAGCGCCUCGUGAAUUCAUCUCCGGGGGUAGAGCACUGUUUCGGCUAGGGGGCCAUCCCGGCUUACCAACCCGAUGCAAACUGCGAAUACCGGAGAAUGUUAUCACGGGAGACACACGGCGGGUGCUAACGUCCGUCGUGAAGAGGGAAACAACCCAGACCGCCAGCUAAGGUCCCAAAGUCAUGGUUAAGUGGGAAACGAUGUGGGAAGGCCCAGACAGCCAGGAUGUUGGCUUAGAAGCAGCCAUCAUUUAAAGAAAGCGUAAUAGCUCACUGGUCGAGUCGGCCUGCGCGGAAGAUGUAACGGGGCUAAACCAUGCACCGAAGCUGCGGCAGCGACGCUGAUGCGUUGUUGGGUAGGGGAGCGUUCUGUAAGCCUGUGAAGGUGGCCUGUGAGGGUUGCUGGAGGUAUCAGAAGUGCGAAUGCUGACAUAAGUAACGAUAAAGCGGGUGAAAAGCCCGCUCGCCGGAAGACCAAGGGUUCCUGUCCAACGUUAAUCGGGGCAGGGUGAGUCGACCCCUAAGGCGAGGCCGAAAGGCGUAGUCGAUGGGAAACGGGUUAAUAUUCCCGUACUUGGUGUUACUGCGAAGGGGGGACGGAGAAGGCUAUGUUGGCCGGGCGACGGUUGUCCCGGUUUAAGCGUGUAGGUGUGUGUUCCAGGUAAAUCCGGUUCACUUUAACACUGAGGCGUGAUGACGAGGCACUACGGUGCUGAAGCAACAAAUGCCCUGCUUCCAGGAAAAGCCUCUAAGCAUCAGGUAACAUCAAAUCGUACCCCAAACCGACACAGGUGGUCAGGUAGAGAAUACCAAGGCGCUUGAGAGAACUCGGGUGAAGGAACUAGGCAAAAUGGUGCCGUAACUUCGGGAGAAGGCACGCUGACACGUAGGUGAAGUGAUUUACUCAUGGAGCUGAAGUCAGUCGAAGAUACCAGCUGGCUGCAACUGUUUAUUAAAAACACAGCACUGUGCAAACACGAAAGUGGACGUAUACGGUGUGACGCCUGCCCGGUGCCGGAAGGUUAAUUGAUGGGGUCAGCGCAAGCGAAGCUCCUGAUCGAAGCCCCGGUAAACGGCGGCCGUAACUAUAACGGUCCUAAGGUAGCGAAAUUCCUUGUCGGGUAAGUUCCGACCUGCACGAAUGGCGUAAUGAUGGCCAGGCUGUCUCCACCCGAGACUCAGUGAAAUUGAACUCGCUGUGAAGAUGCAGUGUACCCGCGGCAAGACGGAAAGACCCCGUGAACCUUUACUAUAGCUUGACACUGAACAUUGAGCCUUGAUGUGUAGGAUAGGUGGGAGGCUUUGAAGCGUGGACGCCAGUCUGCAUGGAGCCGGCCUUGAAAUACCACCCUUUAAUGUUUGAUGUUCUAACGUGGACCCGUGAUCCGGGUUGCGGACAGUGUCUGGUGGGUAGUUUGACUGGGGCGGUCUCCUCCUAAAGAGUAACGGAGGAGCACGAAGGUUGGCUAAUCCUGGUCGGACAUCAGGAGGUUAGUGCAAUGGCAUAAGCCAGCUUGACUGCGAGCGUGACGGCGCGAGCAGGUGCGAAAGCAGGUCAUAGUGAUCCGGUGGUUCUGAAUGGAAGGGCCAUCGCUCAACGGAUAAAAGGUACUCCGGGGAUAACAGGCUGAUACCGCCCAAGAGUUCAUAUCGACGGCGGUGUUUGGCACCUCGAUGUCGGCUCAUCACAUCCUGGGGCUGAAGUAGGUCCCAAGGGUAUGGCUGUUCGCCAUUUAAAGUGGUACGCGAGCUGGGUUUAGAACGUCGUGAGACAGUUCGGUCCCUAUCUGCCGUGGGCGCUGGAGAACUGAGGGGGGCUGCUCCUAGUACGAGAGGACCGGAGUGGACGCAUCACUGGUGUUCGGGUUGUCAUGCCAAUGGCACUGCCCGGUAGCUAAAUGCGGAAGAGAUAAGUGCUGAAAGCAUCUAAGCACGAAACUUGCCCCGAGAUGAGUUCUCCCUGAGACUUAGAGUCUCCUGAAGGAACGUUGAAGACGACGACGUUGAUAGGCCGGGUGUGUAAGCGCAGCGAUGCGUUGAGCUAACCGGUACUAAUGAACCGUGAGGCUUAACCUU